rnacentral:rRNA from 1 species
UACGAGUGCCCCAAGCGUUAUCCGGAAUUAUUGGGCGUAAAGGGUGUGUAGGCGGUCUAGUUAGUCUUCUGUCAAAUUCUUCGGCUUAACCGGGGGUCCGCAGGGGAAACGGCUAGACUCGAGGAUGCGAGAGGUGAAUGGAACUCAUAGUGUAGGGGUGAAAUCCGUUGAUAUUAUGGGGAACACCAAAAGCGAAGGCAAUUCACUGGCGCACUCCUGACGCUGAAACACGAAAGCGUGGGUAGCGAAU